GACGUAGGUGGCGAGCGUUGUUCGGAAUCACUGGGCAUAAAACGCACGUAGGCGGCCAUGUCAGUCGGGUGUGAAAGCCCUCGGCUCAACCGAGGAACUGCGUCCGAUACUGCAUGGCUUGAGGUCCGGAGGGGAGAGUGGAAUUCCCGGUGGAGCGGUGAAAUGCGUAGAGAGUCGGGAAGAACGCCGGCGGCGAAAGC
rnacentral:rRNA from 1 species